rnacentral:rRNA from 1 species
AACGCUGGCGGCAGGCCUCAAACAUGCAAGUCUAGGGGUGUAGCAAUACACACCGGCGGACGGGUGCGUAACGCGUGGGAACAUACCUUUCGGUACGGAACAACUGCGGGAAACUGCAGCUAAUACCGUAUACGCCCUUACGGGGAAAGAUUUAUCGCCGAAGGAUUGGCCCGCGUUCGAUUAGCUAGUUGGUGAGGUAACGGCCCACCAAGGCUACGAUCGAUAGCUGUUCUGAGAGGAAGAUCAGCCACACUGGGACUGAGACACGGCCCAGACUCC